AAUUGACCUUCCCGUGAAGAGGCGGGAAUGAAUUAACAAGACGAGAAGACCCUAUGGAGCUUUAACUAACUAGUCCAAAAGAAAUAAAUUUAACCACCAAGGGAUAACAACAUCCUUUAUGGACUAGCAGUUUUGGUUGGGGUGACCUCGGAGAACAAGAGAUCCUCCGAGCGAUUUUAAAGACUAGACUUACAAGUCAAAUCAAAUUAUCGCUUAUUGAUCCAAAAAACUUGAUCAACGGAACAAGUUACCCUAGG
rnacentral:rRNA from 1 species